GGUCUAUCAUGCAGUCGAGCGAACGGACGAGAAGCUUGCUUCUCUGAUGUUAGCGGCGGACGGGUGAGUAACACGUGGAUAACCUACCUAUAAGACUGGGAUAACUUCGGGAAACCGGAGCUAAUACCGGAUAAUAUUUUGAACCGCAUGGUUCAAAAGUGAAAGACGGUCUUGCUGUCACUUAUAGAUGGAUCCGCGCUGCAUUAGCUAGUUGGUAAGGUAACGGCUUACCAAGGCAACGAUGCAUAGCCGACCUGAGAGGGUGAUCGGCCACACUGGAACUGAGACACGGUCCAGACUCCUACGGGAGGCAGCAGUAGGGAAUCUUCCGCAAUGGGCGAAAGCCUGACGGAGCAACGCCGCGUGAGUGAUGAAGGUCUUCGGAUCGUAAAACUCUGUUAUUAGGGAAGAACAUAUGUGUAAGUAACUGUGCACAUCUUGACGGUACCUAAUCAGAAAGCCACGGCUAACUACGUGCCAGCAGCCGCGGUAAUACGUAGGUGGCAAGCGUUAUCCGGAAUUAUUGGGCGUAAAGCGCGCGUAGGCGGUUUUUUAAGUCUGAUGUGAAAGCCCACGGCUCAACCGUGGAGGGUCAUUGGAAACUGGAAAACUUGAGUGCAGAAGAGGAAAGUGGAAUUCCAUGUGUAGCGGUGAAAUGCGCAGAGAUAUGGAGGAACACCAGUGGCGAAGGCGACUUUCUGGUCUGUAACUGACGCUGAUGUGCGAAAGCGUGGGGAUCAAACAGGAUUAGAUACCCUGGUAGUCCACGCCGUAAACGAUGAGUGCUAAGUGUUAGGGGGUUUCCGCCCCUUAGUGCUGCAGCUAACGCAUUAAGCACUCCGCCUGGGGAGUACGACCGCAAGGUUGAAACUCAAAGGAAUUGACGGGGACCCGCACAAGCGGUGGAGCAUGUGGUUUAAUUCGAAGCAACGCGAAGAACCUUACCAAAUCUUGACAUCCUUUGACAACUCUAGAGAUAGAGCUUUCCCCUUCGGGGGACAAAGUGACAGGUGGUGCAUGGUUGUCGUCAGCUCU
rnacentral:rRNA from 1 species